rnacentral:rRNA from 1 species
GAUGAACGCUGGCGGCGUGCCUAAUACAUGCAAGUCGAGCGAACAGACGAGGAGCUUGCUCCUCUGACGUUAGCGGCGGACGGGUCAGUAACACGUGGAUAACCUACCUAUAAGACUGGGAGAACUUCGGGAAACCGGAGCUAAUACCGGAGAAUAUAUUGAACCGCAUGGUUCAAUAGUGAAAGACGGUUUUGCUGUCACUUAUAGAUGGAUCCGCGCCGCAUUAGCUAGUUGGUAAGGUAACGGCUUACCAAGGCGACGAUGCGUAGCCGACCUGAGAGGGUGAUCGGCCACACUGGAACUGAGACACGGUCCAGACUCCUACGGGAGGCAGCAGCAGGGAAUCUUCCGCAAUGGGCGAAAGCCUGACGGAGCAACGCCGCGUGAGUGAUGAAGGUCUUCGGAUCGUAAAACUCUGUUAUUAGGGAAGAAAAAAUGUGUAAGUAACUAUGCACGUCUUGACGGUACCUAAUCAGAAAGCCACGGCUAACUACGUG